rnacentral:tRNA from 1 species
GCAUCGGUGGUUUAGUGGUAAAAUUAGCCGUUGCCAUUACAGCGCAACAUCGGCUAGCCCCGGGUUCGAUUCCCGGCCGAUGCA